UAAAUAUUUUUUUUGUUUUUUCUAUCUAUUCAAGAAUAAAAUAAAAAAAUUUUCUUCAAAUCUAUACUCGUUUCAACUGUACUUUUUCUAUUGGUUAAUAUUAUAGAAUAAAAAAUAUUUUUCUUUCCUAAUCUGAACUUGUUACACCUGUAGUUUUUCUAUUGGUCAACAGCACAUCAAUUCGCUGAUAAAUAGUAUUUUUUUCUUCCAAUCUGAAUUGGUUGCACCUGUACAUUUUUUUAUUGAAAAAUAGUACAUAAAAUUUGGAGAUAAUUUUAAAUAAUACUCAACAUGACCAGUAUAUAAGUUGUAGAAUCGCGUAAAAUUUUUAAACGUUAUUUGAAAGUCUUCUGUUUCGUGGCAUUAAGUUUGAAACAAAAAAGAAAUAGUGAAAUCCGUCUAAUUAUUCCUGUGUAAUACACCUACCGUAUAAAUUUGACACCAUACGUAUUUGCGGUCGAUUACAUUUAAAUAUCAACUGGGAAAAGUGACAAUGUAUUCUUUAAGGAUCAUGAUAAGCUUAGUAAUAAUCUGCUUCCUAAUUUCGAUGAUCAGAAGCGAACAGAGUAACUUCACUAUGGAUAAAGUAAAUGAAGUAAAACAAGUUUUGAAUAAUUUGGAAAGUCAUUUGGACGCAACAGCUGAUAAAUUAAACGAACAAAAACUACCUAAACAAGAAAAAGGAUUUUGGAAAAAAUUUUUGCAGAUUUUUGCGAACAAUAUACAACACAUUCGCAAUUUACUAUAAAAAAAUUCGUUAAUUUAUGGAUAAAUAAAAUAAUUGUAAACAAAAAAAGAUUUUGUCUUUUACUGUAUCUAAGCAAACAUAUAAAUAAACAAGCAUUUAAACAGUCA